GACGAACGCUGGCGGCGUGCUUAACACAUGCAAGUCGAACGGAAAGGCCCUGCUUUUGUGGGGUUCUCGAGUGGCGAACGGGUGAGUAACACGUGAGUAACCUGCCCUUGUCUUUGGGAUAACUUCAGGAAACUGGGGCUAAUACCGGAUAGGAGCUCCUGCUGCAUGGUGGGGGUUGGAAAGUUUCGGCGGUUGGGGAUGGACUCGCGGCUUAUCAGCUUGUUGGUGGGGUAGUGGCUUACCAAGGCUUUGACGGGUAGCCGGCAUGAGAGGGUGACCGGCCACAUUGGGACUGCGAUACGGACCAGACGCCUACGGGAGGCAGCAGUGGGGAAUAUUGCACAAUGGGCGGAAGCCUGAUGCAGCAACGCCGCGUGCGGGAUGACGGCCUUCGGGUUGUAAACCGCUUUCGCCUGUGACGAAGCGUGAGUGACGGUAAUGGGUAAAGAAGCACCGGCUAACUACGUG
rnacentral:rRNA from 1 species